rnacentral:rRNA from 1 species
GAUGAACGCUGGCGGCGUGCCUAAUACAUGCAAGUCGAGCGAACAGACGAGAGUGCUUGCACUCUCUGACGUUAGCGGCGGACGGGUGAGUAACACGUGGGUAACCUACCUAUAAGACUGGGAUAACUUCGGGAAACCGGAGCUAAUACCGGAUAAUAUUUAGCUUCGCAUGAAGCAAUAGUGAAAGACGGUUCUGCUGUCACUUAUAGAUGGACCCGCGGUGUAUUAGCUGGUUGGUGAGGUAACGGCUCACCAAGGCAACGAUACAUAGCCGACCUGAGAGGGUGAUCGGCCACACUGGGACUGAGACACGGCCCAGACUCCUACGGGAGGCAGCAGUAGGGAAUCUUCCGCAACGGACGAAAGUCUGACGGAGCAGUGCCGCGUGAGUGAAGAAGGUUUUCGGAUCGUAAAACUCUGUUGUAAGGGAAGAACAAGUACGUUAGUAACUGAACGUACCUUGACGGUACCUUACCAGAAAGCCACGGCUAACUACGUG